AUUGAACGCUGGCGGCAGGCCUAACACAUGCAAGUCGAGCGAGCGGCGGACGGGUGAGUAAUGUCUGGGAAACUGCCUGAUGGAGGGGGAUAACUAUUGGAAACGGUAGCUAAUACAGCAUACUACCAGCUGUGCCCAGAUGGGAUUAGCGAGUAGGGGGGGUAACGGCUCAACAAGGCGACGAUCCAUAGCUGGUCUGAGAGGAGGACCAGCCACACUGGAAUUGAGACACGGUCCAGACUCCGACGGGAGGCAGCAGUGGGGAAUAUUGCACAAUGGGCGCAAGCCUGAUGCAGCCAUGCCGCGUGUGUGAAGAAGGCCUUCGUGUUGUAAAGCACUUUCAGCGGGGAGGCGUUACCCGCAGAAGAAGCACCGGCUAACUCCGUGCCAGCCGCCGCGGUAAUUC
rnacentral:rRNA from 1 species